rnacentral:rRNA from 1 species
AUACUUAGGGUGCAAGCGUUAAUCGGAAUUACAGGGCGUAAAGCGCUCGUAGGCGGCUUGUAAAGUCGGAUGUGAAAUCCCCGGGCUCAACCUGGGAACUGCAUUCGAAACUGGCAGGCUAGAGUAUAGUAGAGGCAAGUGGAAUUCCGGGUGUAGCGGUGAAAUGCGUAGAUAUCCUGAGGAACAUCAGUGGCGAAGGCGACUUGCUGGACUAAUACUGACGCUGAGGAGCGAAAGCGUGGGGAGCAAACGGGAUUAGAAACCCGUGUAGUCC